GACAGCAGACAUCCUCCCGGAUAAACACGC
rnacentral:sRNA from 1 species